UUGUCCCUACGGGACGCAGCAGUGGGGAAUAUUGCACAAUGGGGGAAACCCUGAUGCAGCGACGCCGCGUGAGCGAUGAAGUAUUUCGGUAUGUAAAGCUCUAUCAGCAGGGAAGAAAAUGACGGUACCUGACUAAGAAGCCCCGGCUAACUACGUGCCAGCAGCCGCGGUAAUACGUAGGGGGCAAGCGUUAUCCGGAUUUACUGGGGGGAAAGGGAGCGUAGACGGUCCUGCAAGCCAGAUGUGAAAGCCCAGGGCGCAAC
rnacentral:rRNA from 1 species